rnacentral:rRNA from 1 species
GUAGGUGGCAAGCGUUGUCCGGAAUUAUUGGGCGUAAAGCGCGCGCAGGCGGUUCUUUAAGUCUGAUGUGAAAGCCUACGGGCUCAACCGUGGAGGGUCAUUGGAAACUGGAGAACUUGAGUACAGAAGAGGAAAGCGGAAUUCCACGUGUAGCGGUGAAAUGCGUAGAGAUGUGGAGGAACACCAGUGGCGAAGGCGGCUUUCUGGUUUGUAACUGACGCUGAGGCGCGAAAGCGUGGGGAGCAAACAGGAUUAGAUACCCUGGUAGUCCACGCCGUAAACGAUGAGUGCUAAGUGUUAGGGGGUUUCCGCCCCUUAGUGCUGCAGCUAACGCAUUAAGCACUCCGCCUGGGGAGUACUGCCGCAAGGCUG